rnacentral:rRNA from 1 species
UAGGGAAUAUUGCGCAAUGGGCGAAAGCCUGACGCAGCAACGCCGCGUGAGGGAUGAAGGUCUUCGGAUCGUAAACCUCUGUCAGAGGGGACGAACCGUCCCGGGUCGAAUAAGCCCGGGGCCUGACGGUACCCUCAGAGGAAGCACCGGCCAACUCCGUGCCAGCAGCCGCGGUAAUACGGAGGGUGCAAGCGUUGUUCGGAUUUACUGGGCGUAAAGCGCGUGUAGGCGGGCUGGCAAGUCCUGUGUGCAAUCUCCCGGCUCAACCGGGAAACUGCAUGGGAAACUACUAACCUUGAGUGCGAGAGAGGAUGGCGGAAUUCCUGGUGUAGCGGUGAAAUGCGUAGAUAUCAGGAGGAACACCGGUGGCGAAGGCGGCUUCCCGGACCAAUACUGACGCUGAGGCGCGAAGGCGUGGGGAGCAAACAGGAUUAGAUACCCUGGUAGUCCACGCAGUAAACGGUGAACACUAGGUGUAGCGGGUAUUGACCCCUGCUGUGCCGAAGCUAACGCAUUAAGUGUUCCGCCUGGGAAGUACGGCCGCAAGGUUA